UAUAUUAUUGAAGAGAGGCUUUUUUAUAUCACUACAUCUCAGCUAACACCUCAGUGUUUGGUGGAAGACAUCAUGAAUACAGAGGACUCCUCGGGACUGAGAGUUUUAUGACAUAUUUUCAGGGGAGGUUUUAUGGCCUGCUUCAGGAAAAAUGCUCCAAAUACGUGCUUUCCUGUUCUGCUUUAUGAAAAUGGAACUGGACCCUGUAAACUGUUCUCCUUUGUCAGUGGGCAUGACAUUUGGCUUCGUCAAUAGAAGACUGGUUCUGGUUUCCUAUUUUUUAAAUCAACUUCCACCGCAUUUUCAGGAUAUGACUGACCUCAGACACAGGAAUUCAGAAAUCGCACUGCCUGCCUCUUUGACAUAGGAAAACAGAUACUGGCUCCCCAAACCUAUGAUGAAGAAAGAAGCUGGAAGAACUCUGAGAAGAGUUUUCAAGACCAUGAGUGCCCUUGCCAAAACCCAAUGGAAAAGUCUCUAGAGAAAGAGAGGUCAUAGAAGUUUAAAGGCUCAGUAAAAUUCCACGAAGCAUCAACCUGAAGAAUAACAGCCAUGCAAAAAUAGCUCAUCAUCACUGGUCAUUAGAGAAAUGCAAAUUAAAACCACAGUGAGAUACCAUCUUACGACAGAAUGGUGAUUAUUAAAAAGUCAGGAAACAACAGAUGCUGGUGAAGCUGUGGAGAAAUAAGAACACUUUUACACUGU